AGCUUUGCGCAGUGGCAGUAUCGUAGCCAAUGAGGUUAUUCCGAGGCACGAUUCUUGCUAAUUGAAAACUUAAAAAAAAGUCUCAAAUGGGCAUCGUGUACACCCUUCCAAAUUUCUGAAGCAGGUAAAUACUA
ensembl:snRNA U4 U4 spliceosomal RNA